rnacentral:misc_RNA from 1 species
UCUCCGUUGGUGAACCAGCGGAGGGAUCAUUACAGAGUUGAAAAACUCCCAAACCAUUGUGAACGUUCCCUAUCCUGUUGCUUCGGCGGACGGCCCGGGCCCCGCGCCCGGCGACCCCAGGCCCCCCGUGGGCGCCCGCCGGAGGUAAACCAAACCCUUGAUUUGCAUUGCCACUCUGAGUAUUCUGUACUGAAUAAGUCAAAACUUUCAACAACGGAUCUCUUGGUUCUG